rnacentral:rRNA from 1 species
CGGAACGGGUGAGUAAUGCGUGACCAACCUGCCCCAUGCUCCAGAAUAGCUCUUGGAAACGGGUGGUAAUGCUGGAUGCUCCAACUUGACGCAUGUCUUGUUGGGAAAGUGUUUAGUGGCAUGGGAUGGGGUCGCGUCCUAUCAGCUUGUAGGCGGGGUAAUGGCCCACCUAGGCUUCGACGGGUAGCCGGCCUGAGAGGGCGGACGGCCACAUUGGGACUGAGAUACGGCCCAGACUCCUACGGGAGGCAGCAGAC